UGAACGGAGCGAAAGCGUCGGAGGAAGCACAGUUACAGAGCCGAGAAAGAAACAAAAAGCCAGAGAAAGAAGGAUCGAAGGAGGAGAAAAACCUAAUGAGAUCGGUGAGCUCGCUUCUUCCCCCGUUCAUCCCCUUCGAAUCCGCUCCAAAUCUCUCCAAUUCCACCUCUCCUCCGGCUCCCACGACCUUCCAAUCGUGGGGAAACUGGGCCCUUCCCCUUCGCGAUUGGAUCCGCCGAAUGCGGCUCGUUUGUGCCUCGAGUUCGCGCCCGACGGAGGCCGUGAUCGGGAAGGGAGCCGGCUUUCGCGCGUGGCCUUGCUGGCGGUGGAGCAAUCCUAGCUGGAGGAGUGCGGAGCGGGGAAGAGAUCGGAGGCAGUCGGAGUCUCGGGAGGUAAGAAAGUGGCGGUACGUGGAGCUUUUCGUGAGGGGGUUCUGUAGCUUGAAUGAGCCUUUAUACGGGCAGUCGCUUUCGUGAAUUUAUUGAUUUUGUUGUGUCUUUGUGCUGAGUUCGAACGGAUUCUUUGGGAAACGCUUCUACUUUUACCGAGAAUGUCUAUUUGUAGCAUAAGUUUGUAUAGGCUUCGAUCAGAACUGCGGCGACUUCAAGUGUGCUAACUUCCUUUUUGAUCUUUUGCCUCUUUGCUCUCUGAUCAUUCUCAUAAAAAUGCUACUUUAUUGCUACGUGGCGUCAUGUGUUAAAUGGUACAGAACAGUUAACAUCACAGCUGAAUCUGCUAACUGUUUCGAUCUGCUUCUUUACCUCGACGAAAAAGAUUUUGGACGUUGUUAUUUGCAAGUUUUGUCGGGCAGACUAUGUAUGUCAUCUUCUUGUUCUUUUGACAUUUGGAAGCCAUCAUUAAUGUACGAGGAGCUGGAAGCAAGCUUGUCCGUAGGUGGAGGACAGGAAGACUGAAAGAUGCCUCCUUCGCCCUCGCCAAGGCGCUCUCCUGAGAGAGAGCCCAGGGUGGAAAAUUCCCAAAGAGGGACCACAGUUUUGAGGGUAGAAUUCCUCUCAAGGUCAAGGACGAUGAUCUAGCUUUGUUCAGUGAGAUGCAGAACCAUGAGAGGGACAACUUUUUGCUACAUGCCUAUGAUGAUUUUGAUGAAUCUAUAUCACAAUUGAGAUAUUUUUCGGAUUUCAAGAUUGGGGUCACUGUACCAACCGGAGGAGAGUGCAAAGAUCUCCUCAAUGCAGUUGGUGAGAAAAAUGAUUAUGACUGGCUGUUGACUCCUCCUGAUACUCCCCUGUUUCCUUCAUUGGAUGACGAUGAGCCUCAACCUGCUAAUGUGUACAGAGGCAGGACAAGAACUCAACCCAUUUCAAUUUCGAGAACAUCCAUGACUCUGAGGACAAAACGAAGCAGCACAGGUCCAUCUCCUCGAUCAGGUUAUAGUGUAUCUUAUUCAAGAAUUACGCCAUCUUCAGCUUAUUGUUCUAGCCCGCCUCCUGUUCUUCGAUCAACAACACCCUCACGAAGAUCUUCUGCUCCUCUAACGAAGCCUUCAUCACUUGCUCAAAGGUCCUUGACUCCCAUAUUACGGAGGAUGAGCACCGGUUCCAGUGGGCAGGCAUUCACUGGUAGAAGGGGAACAUCCCCUGUAAAGACAAAUCGUGGCAGUUCUGCCUCACCAAAAUUACAUGGAUAGCAAUCAAAUCUGCCCGGUUUCUCCGCAGAUGUACCACCAAACAUUCAAACUUCUCUAACGGAUCGGUCGGCAUCACGUGUGCGGGGUUUGUCUCCAGCAUCUGUACAUGGAAGAGGUUUUGGGCCAAAAUUUGGAAGACAGUCAAUAUCUCCAUCUUCGAGGAGUGCCUGGUUACCGCAUAAUAGUGAAGGGGACUGUUUUAGCUCUAUUAGUAAACCCUCUGCAGCAUCUUCCUUCAAAGAUGAUGUUGAAUCACAUGCAUGUGUAGGAGUUUCUACCACUGCUGCUACAAGAAAAUAUAGAGAUUUUGCAAACACUAGAGCUAUGCGAUUCUCCAAGAACAUUUCCCGAGUCACAUCUGCAAGUUUCGCACCUAAAAGAUCUAUUGAUUCUGUUCUUAGAAAGAUGGAUCACCAGAAAACUCCUCAAAGCAUGUUCAGGCCAUUGGUAUCAAGUGUCCCUGCCUCUACAUUUUAUGUUGGAAAUACAAACAGCAUCCUUCGACGUAUGUUCUCUAGGAAUUCUUCACUUACAACUAGCAGCAAUGCAAGCUCCCAGCAUGGUGCCAAUGUUACUCCUGAUUUGGAGGAUGAUGACCAUGAUCAGAGUGAUCUGGCAGGUGAAUGGGAGAAAAAGAAAUCUGAAUUCCAGGAGGAAAUGUUUUGUUUUGAUAAGUUGGAUGGGAUAUGUGAAGAUACUGGUCAUGACACUUGUUCUGCUAAUCUUCUAAGUGGUGGUGAGAUCUUUGAUGGGAGUACAGUCAAUGAAGUUGACUCCAAGCCCAAGUUGGAGUGUUCUACAGUCGAUGAUGGUGAUGCAGUAAAUAUGGCAGUUGCUUGUCGAGGUCUUUUGUAUGCUGCCGAAUUCGCUGAGAUUGAUUCUGCUGAAAAAAAUGAGUAUUUUCUCGAAGUGUGGGAAAAAAAAUCAUGGCCACUGAUAAGGAUGUGGAUGUGGAUAUUUGCAAGAAUGUUCAGCAACAUAUAGAUUAAUUGGUUCAGAAGAACCUGGAACUUUUUGAGUUGCAAUUCUGGAUGAUGAAAAUGGCACAUUGGACCAUAAUGUGCUAACCCAAAUGGGAAUCCCUGUACUGUCUGAUAGUAUAAGUGAACUCAGGCCUAGCCAACAUAAACAAAGCAGUGAACAAGUAGUAACUGAUUUUUCUUCAGACAGUGGAUUAAUUUCCAUCGGUGAGCGAUAAAAAAGAGCAAAACCUUUCUGAACUUGAAGUAUGCAAACCAGAUGAGUUAAGUGUUUCUGAAUCUAGUAGUAAAUAUGAAUCUCAAAAAAACAUUUCUGAACAGGAAAUACUUGUAUCAAGCGAAGUAAAUGCUCCAGAAUCUAGUGGUUAAUGUGAACCUCUAAAAUUACAGCGAACUGCCAGUCCAAGUGACUUGUUUGACAAUUCUGAGGCCACAGAAUUGGAGGCACUAAUUGCUAUCUCAGACUCAUCUUUCAUUGAAGAUAAUUGCAUGCUGAGUGAUACUGGCUGUCAAGAUGAUGUUAAUGGUGUUGCAACACAUAGCUCAUCUUUUGUGAUCUCAGACCAGCAAAUUGAUACACUCACAUUCCAGAAUGCUCAAAUUGAUCAUGCACCUGUUCAAACACAAGACUCUGUGGAGGAUUUUCAAGAAUCUUGCCUUUCCAUAUCACAUAAGGAUAUCUUGCUUUCCGAAUUAGAAUCAAAGACUGCCGAGGUUCCUUCUAGCGAAGAACCAAUCAUGAUGAUAGAAGCUCCAAGGAAACACAUGCAAAGAAGUUUUACUCUGGAAGAAGCAACAAAUACUUUACUCUUCUGCAGUUAUAUUGCCCAUGAUAUGGCCUACAAGGCUGCAACAAUUGGGAUGGAAAAGGAGUUGGCUACAUAUGAGUCUUCUCAUCGAAGAGUUACAUAUCUUGGAAGUUCUGUUUCCAAUCAGAAGAAUUUGCAAAAAACAUCCAACAAAUGUAUUCAGAUUUCACAAAAGGUUAAACUAAAGAAGCUGGAAAUAGCUGGCAGGAUGCCAUCUGCGGGUCUCGGGAUCAAUGUCAAGAACUCAGAGUUUGCAUGUCACAAUACUGAAGUUCCACACACGAUUGACAGCACGAAGCCCCCCGAUGUUGGAGUCGAAGUGCGACUGCACAGUGAUGUCAGAGUUUCAAAUGCCUUCGAUCAGUAGUCUACUCAUUAGAUUCUCUUCCUGAAGUAUUAUAGCAUAAGCACGAUCUUGAUAUUCUUUAUCUAGAAGAGGGGUUUUUAGAUACUGGGAGUGACAGCACAUGUGCUCCCAAUCUUCAUUUAUUCUUGAGAAUGCGAUGCAAUGCGAUGUUGUAAAGACAAUGCCCUUGGCAUCAAUGGGAGAGGAAUCAGAGGUUCGUGGCAUGCUUCCACCUUUCUCCUGCUAGUCUGGUUGUAUGCUGCUGCUCUUUUCCUGUGUCCUUCAGGAUGAUGCGAUAUUCUUUUGUAAAUUUUGUCCUCACUGUGCUUCUUUAUGGCUUUGAAUCAAUCAAAAGAGAUGAGUUCAUGUGGCUGUAACGGUUAGCAAAGUUAUAUGCAAUCUUUGUUCUUUGGGGUGCA